rnacentral:ncRNA from 1 species
ACUAUGAUGUGUUAUUUCCAAGCACAUACCUGACUACUUUUUGUGGAAACCUGCCUAUUUCUGAGU